AAGCACCCAUCAGCCCAGCACUAAACUCCAAGCAAGAUUUGUGUUCUUUUCCAGUGUACAAAAACAGAUAGACGGGACAAUAAAAUAAAUGGAUUCUCACCUGGAACUUCAUCUGUUCUGCUCUCUGUGGAUCAACAACUUCAAUAUGCUGGUAGUGCCUCAGUGUCAUGAAAAAAGCCUCAUUUCCCCAGAGACCCACACUCUCACCUGGGGGUUUUCACUUUGCACUGCGGCGACGUAGUUCUCG